ensembl:lncRNA
GCCCCCGGCCCGCCCGGCCCCGCCUUCCCGCCGCCUCCUUUGUGUGCCAGCCGGCCGCAGCGUCCCCGCGCCGGCGCUCCGGGACGCCCCGAGUCCCGUUGCAGCCUCGCGGGGGCCGCCCCAAAGGGGUCCCCGUCGUGGGGCUGCGUCCAGAAAGCGCCGGGAGAAGCGGCGACCCCGAGGUGCGGCGCCAGCGGCGGUCGGGCUGCACGUGGGUCGCCGGGAUCCGGGGUGUGUGGGAGGGGGAGGGACGCGAGGGCUCGCGGCGCGUCUCAGGGCUGCAGGACAAGUCGUCUUGGUCGCCCUCUGAGACAGACGGGGGGCGCCUCGGGACGGUGCCCACCGGUCCGAGUGAUGGUGAUAACGAUGCCAGCUCGCGGCCGGAGAGCGGCAGAUCACCCUUCGAGGCGCUUCGCAGGGCUCCCCAGAGCCGACUUCUCCCGGCCUCGGGGACAGAGGAGCGGGAGCUGGUCGCAGUAGGCAGAUGGCAGACGAGGGAACCCAGAAAACUGGAUUCCUGACUGCGGUGACAGCAUGAGGAAACAGACACUGAGACGGAGAUUGGUGUGUAGAAAGUUCGCUGGGAAGUGUUACCAAUAUCAAUAAUCAUGGAGGAUUGAUGAAAGCCAGGUUGGUCAGAAGGAGAAGUUGGACUAUGAUACAGUCACAAAGGUUUCUUCCUAUUCCAUGGGGAGCUCAGAAACUGGAAUGGCCCUUCAGGGUUGUCCUGCCUUGAGGCAAAGAGGAUGGUUCUUUAUACCCUCCCAGGACUCUCCAGUCAUUGGAUGUGGGCUGCCAGCGAGAAGAAGGCAUGACCUUGUGUGAGGUGGCUUUACUUAACAUAAGGCAAUUUCUGGAGGAAAACUCAUCUGAAAGUCUUCUGCUGUCAACACUCCCAGCAAGUGGGGGAAUGGGUGCUUUAAUCUUGAGAGGGAGGAUCUGGAUGGUACACUGAAACGUGCAUUUCUGCCUACCCUUUAUGCUGCUUGGAUCCAAUUUUAUAAUGUAAUACCUUCUGAGAAGAACUUCCCCAGGAUUCUGGUUGAUCCCUUUCCCUGUGUAAACUUAUGAAAGAUUAGUAGGAUGAACCACAGUUUCCACCGCUGUAGCUGGUCUCAAAGCUGCAACUCAUCUGCCCAUUCUGGAUUUAUCUCCACCUCAGCUGUCACUUCUGCUGGUUUAGGUGCGUUAGUUAGUAAGAUAACCCAGAACCUCAACCCUGAGGGGUUUGAACACUGGUCAGUAUGCCCUUCUUAGCCUGUGGCUGCUACAUUUAUCCACUCACUAUCAAAAUUGGAUAAGGGAGUAUCAAGAGAAGCUUAAGUGGGUUUCCCGGGUGCCAAACAUAGUCCUCCCUCUCCCUACUGUGUAACAGCAGUGUUAACUCCUCCUGAUGAUCCUAAUCAAUCACUCCUAUCAGGGUGGAGACAACUUGCUUCGCCUUCUUGUCUCCUGGUGUGAGAAGACUGAAGUGACUGGGUGUAGUCCAGUAGCUUAAAGUUUAAUGAGACUCUUGCUUUGCCCCUUGGUGCAAGUGUUUCCACUCUGGGAACUAGGACCUUGAAAUUCAUAGAAACUAGAGUUAUUGGGACCAAAAACACAUCACUGGGCAUGAUGGUGGAUGAGACCACUCCUACUUCCGUCUCUUGGUUCUAGAUACGUGUAGUCUACCUUCUGUGGACCCAACAUCAUAUAAUGGUGACUGAUUUAGAUUAUACGCUGAAUCCUGGGGUUGGGGUGGGGGCACGCUUGCUCAGUAUCAUCUCCAAUUUGGAACCUCAAUUGGAUGUUCAAAAGUCCAUUCUGUUGUUCCAUCAGGCCAGCAACUUCUGGGUGGUGCAGUAGGUAACUGGACCAGUAGAUCCCUGGUCAGGUGACCACAGCCACACCUCUUUGCUAAAGUGAGUUCUUUGGUCCAAUAUGGUGUUACGUAGGACCCACAUCAGUGGUUCAGAUGCUCUGUAAGCACUUGGAUAAUGUUGCUGGCUGAGGCCCUGUGGGAAGGAAAAGCAAAUCCAGACCCACCAAAAUGUGUUUAUAAGUCCAUCAGAAUCAAUCAUUGUCCCUUCCAUGGUGGAAAGAGUCCAAUGCAGCCCUCAUCAAGGGAUGGUGUCAUACUAUGGCAGUUGCAACAAAGGCUUCAGUCAAUCCUAUGGGGAGCUUGGGAACAAGGAUGGCCCCUCAGGGUUGUCUUGAUUUAAGGCAAGAGAGGUGAACCUUUAUACUCACCCCACCAGCAACCAGUCCUUAGAUCUUGGCUGUCCCCAGAAAGGCACAAGACUUUGAGAGAGACAGCUUCCUUCAGCUGACAUGGAUUCCCAAAGAGCAACUCAGCUGAGACCCUUCGGCCUCCAACUGCCUAGCAACUGAGGAAGAAUCUGGAAGCACAGCAUCCACUAGGACUCAUUUAUCUUCCACGAGUGGGACUAUGUUUGCCGUUGUUUUACCUCCCUGGAGAUAUGGAUUGGCCCUGAAUGGUCAUCAUUCAGGGCAGUUAGCAGAUCGUUGGUAGUUUUGGCGAGAAUUAUUUCAACAGAGUGUUGGGAGGAGGAAGGACUCCAGACAUUUAAAAAAUAACUCUGAAAUAAGGAGGCUGAGUGAAUGAGUCUAAACCUCUCUUGCAAGAAACUUUGUGGUGAAGAAGAGGGAUUCUGUAGAUUUGGGGAGAGUGAAUUAGAACACCCUUCCUUCCCCAGUGGGUGUUCUUCCAAAAUAGAUGGCUGAGGUUAUGAAGGAAAUUUGGAAGAAUUUUUUCACUGUAUGAAGCUAAUUGGUCCCCAGGGGAACUGAAUCUGUAGUUCCAGCUUCAUUAGUAUCAUUCUAGCUGAAUCAAAUGGCUGGAGAACAACCAGACCAGGCAAGUCAUUGCAGUCAAAUCCAAGAUUAUCCAAGAGGUCAAGUUGUUUACUAAGUCAGACAGACAGGGUGGCUUUACAUUCAUGUUAUCUGCAAAACGUUUAUAUCAUAGUCUGUGAGGUUUGACACUAGGGAGUCUAGUGAGGGUUGGCUGAAACUUUGAGAAAGUAUUUAUAUUUAUACCCAAAAGAGAGAAUUUAAAAAAAUUUUUUAAAUAAAGAUGAACAUUAGUGGCUCUGGAAUGUUUUAAUGGGACAGAUUUGAAGAAGGUCAAUGGAUUCAGAUGCAAUCAGGAAGUUUUAUGUCAUCAAAUCAGCAGAUCCAAUGCAACUGUACUUUCAAAGCAUCAUUUUUUUGUUACACAUCUGUUUAGUGUGUAAAAUAUGGAGAACUCAGUUCAUUAUGCUAUAAGCAUAACUGAUGAGGGCAGGUG